rfam:Cellulomonas gilvus ATCC 13127 chromosome, complete genome.
GGUCAUGAGCGCCAGCGCGAAGCCCCGGCUCGCUGGCCGGCAACCCUCCUCCGCGGUGGGGUGCCCCGGGUGACGACCAGGCCGUGCACCGUCCGGUGCCGGCAAGCGCGGGGC